GCCCGCCUAGCUCAAUCGGAUAGAGCGUCAGACUCUUAGGUGGGAUUCAUGUUCCGUAUUAUCUGAAGGCUGCGAGUUCGACCCUCGCGGUGGGCU